UACAGGGGGUGCAAACGUUGCUCGGAAUCAUUGGGCGUAAAGCGCACGUAGGCGGUUCGUUAUGUCGGAUGUGAAAGCCCUUGGCUUAACCGAGGAAGUGCAUCCGAAACUGGCGAGCUAGAGUACUAAAGAGGAUCGCGGAAUUCCCGGUGUAGAGGUGAAAUUCGUAGAUAUCGGGAGGAACACCGGUGACGAAGGCGGCGAUCUGGGUAGAUACUGACGCUGAGGUGCGAAAGCGUGGGGAGCAAACAGG
rnacentral:rRNA from 1 species